AAUUAAAAUAACUAAUUAAAUCCACUCCUAUUUUUUCAAAAUGACAAAACUAUCCUUAGCAUUUUGCCCCCAAAUUAAAGAACCCUAGGCAGCACUUGCUCUCUUAAUCCAGUGGCGUUUCUCCACCGUUCAUCUGCGUCGUCAUCCUUCUACGUCGUUGUCAUCGUUUUUUUCUGGGCGGCUUGAGCGUCGGUCGUCCGUCAUCUUUGGUUUGCACUGCUCUGCUCUACUCUGUUUGUCUUUGGUCUGCGCUGCGAUGUACUGCGCGUGCUCUGUUCGUCGUGUUCCAUCACCUCACCUGGCAAUAAAAGUAAUAAUGGAAGAGUGACGUGGGUAGGAUGCAGCGUCUUGCUUGACAUCAUUGACGGUGACCGUCUCGUCUUCGAUCGCCUCUCCCCCGCUGCGAAAUUGAAGAUUGGGAAUAAGAACUGCUCUCUCCAACUGUUAAUCGGCACUCGCUUCAAUUCUCUCUUUCAACUCAAUAGCACUUCCCUCUCUCCUUUUAUACCUUCCCCUCAAGGUAUCUAUGCUUAUGCAUCAUUGCUGAUGCUACUAACAAUGAGGAAAUAAAAGAUGAUGGUCAACCGAAUCUCGAAUCCAAGGAUAAUCAUAAAUUGGUUGACAAUAACACUACACAAACCCUCACUGGUAAAGAUAUUGAAGCCAUGCGAAGUCCUCUCAAACGCAGAACCCACACCUUCUUCCUUAAUCCCUAUUUUCGAAACUAAUGCCCAAGUCCUCGCUGAGCACUACAAGCUAUUAACGUACAACAAUUUUCUUUUGAUCAUCAUCGCUGAUCGGAAGUGCUCGGAGCCGUUGUGCCGUCGGCUGCCGCAUCUUCGUCGCACCUAUUUCCGUCCAGAAGGCUUGUCGUCCUCGCAAUCGAGAUCCUUGACGCGUCGUCAAGCCUACGUCCACAUUCACAGCCUUCCUCUCUCACCAACAAUUCCAAUCCUCCCUAAAUACCGGAAUUUAAGAUGCCCAAGAAAGCUCGUUACACGAAAAAGACAGGAUUGGCAACACCAUGUUAGUAGCCUCCAACGGGAGCUUAUGCAUCUUUAUCCUCCGCUAAUGAUGACUGGCUCGUUCCCCCGCCCAGUGAUAGUGGCGUGCUAGCAGUGGCAUCUUUGUGGCCAUUUCGUCCGCCCUGGAGUGAUCCAAGACCUGAGGCAGAGACCUGCGCCAAUGGUGUACAAACAUUGGAGUCAUGCGAUGAAGACUUGGACCCAGAGGCGAACGAGAUUCUGAUGGCAUAAUCAAACAAGAUAAAUUAAGUGUGAUGGAAGCUGUGGAGCAGUCUCUUAAUGGUAGAAAGAUCAUGCUAAGAUUCAACGUGUCACUACAGCCAAUCAGAGAUUGUGCUGGUUUAUUGAGUGGCGUUCUUGGAAUGCUGGGGCUGAUUACAACAAAUUUUUUAUCUGUGAAAAAUUUUGAAAAAGGGUGACGGACAAAGACAUGGUGUAUAAUGAUUGUAUAAAGGAAAUGUUCCACUCUGAUGAAGAUAUAGGUGGAAGAAUCAAGAAAAUUUUUUUGCAUAGCAUGGGAAAGUCCUGGAAGGAGAUAAGGGGUAGGUUGUAUGACAGUUAUUACAAACCAACAAGGAUGCUUGAGAAAAAUCUUGAAGACUGCCCGGUGGGUAUUGAUACGGAGCAUUGGAGAUAGUUCCUUGAUUAUCGCAAUGACCCUAACAUAAAGGAGAAGUGCAGGGCAAAAUGCUUUGAAUCGAUCGAAGCAACUUUACACCUACACUGACGGUUCUAAAAGUUUGGCUAGGUGAAGGGAAGAAGAAGUAAUUUAGGUUUGAAUGCAUCUUUGAACAGUAUUCUGGAUUGUAUCUUCUUUUAUUGGGUUUAAUACGAUUAUGGUAUAAACUGUAUUAUCACAGUCAGAACUAUAGGAGAGUUGAGUUGGUAGAAGAGAAAUAUGGAUCUUACAGCACAAACAACCUGAUGACACAUAUAUACUUGAAGAAACUCAGAGGAUUGAUGAUAAAAUAUCUGAGGUUGAGCAACGUGAUGAAUCCACGAGAUUAUUGUCUGAAAAUGAUUUCCUUGCCUAAGCUCCCGAAAAAGAGCACUCGGGUAGAGUGUGUGGCGGAGGUUUUGGACCGACACCAAGUCAACUCUUCUGUCUAAGUUUGCAGCCACCAGUGGAUGGAGCUCAAGCAGAAAAGGCCCAAAGGAUGCUGAUUAAACUUCAGGCAGAGGUGACGGCCAGCCGAGAAAUUGAAAAGGAAGGUAGUGGAGGAUGAAGUAGCAGCUGAGAAAAUGAAAAUGAAGACAGUGGAUGAUGAAAUAGCAGCAUAAAAGUUGAGAAAGAAGGCAGUGGAAGAUGAUGUAGCAACUGAGAAGAUGAAGAGGCAGGCAAUAGAGUGUGUGCUAACUUAGCUGAUUCAAUGGCAAGGUGGAAAAUUGCCACCAGACAUCGCUACACGGAUGAAUUCUUUGGAUGGACAUGAAGGAAAAUAGAAAUUAGGAGUCGUGUGAAAUUUUAUUUGAAGUAUAUGUUUAAUUGACUAUGCAACUUUAUUAACUAGUAAAACACUUUUU